rnacentral:rRNA from 1 species
ACCCUGGCGGCGAGCGGCGAACGGGUGAGUAAUGCAUCGGAACGUGUCCUCUAGUGGGGGAUAACUCACCGAAAGGUGAGCUAAUACCGCAUGAGCUCUGAGGAGGAAAGCGGGGGACCUGCAAGGGCCUCGCGCUGGAGGAGCGGCCGAUGUCCGAUUAGCUAGUUGGCGGGGUAAAGGCCCACCAAGGCGACGAUCGGUAGCUGGUCUGAGAGGAUGAUCAGCCACACUGGGACUGAGACACGGCCCAGACUCCUACGGGAGGCAGCAGUGGGGAAUUUUGGACAAUGGGGGCAACCCUGAUCCAGCCAUGCCGCGUGAGUGAAGAAGGCCUUCGGGUUGUAAAGCUCUUUCGGACGGAACGAAACGGGCGAGGUUAAUAACCUUGUCCACUGACGGUACCGUAAGAAGAAGCACCGGCUAACUACGUGCCA